rnacentral:rRNA from 1 species
AACGAACGCUGGCGGCAGGCUUAACACAUGCAAGUCGAGCGCGUAGCAAUACGAGCGGCAGACGGGUGAGUAACGCGUGGGAAUCUACCCAACCCUACGGAAUAACGCAUGGAAACGUGUGCUAAUACCGUAUACGCCCUUCGGGGAAGGAUUAUCGGGAGUGGAUGAGCCCGCGUUGGAUUAGCUAGUUGGUGGGGUAAAGGCCUACCAAGGCGACGAUCCAUAGCUGGUCUGAGAGGAUGAUCAGCAACACUGGGACUGAGACACGGCCCAGACUCCUACGGGAGGCAGCAGUGAGGAAUAUUGGUCAAUGGACGCAAGUCUGAACCAGCAUGCCGCGUGAAGGA